rnacentral:tRNA from 2 species
GCCAGCGUGGCUCAAUGGUAGAGCACCUGAUUUGUAAUCAGGGGGUUGUGGGUUCGAGUCCCACCGCUGGCUCCA